AGAGUUUGAUCCUGGCUCAGGACGAACGCUGGCGGCGUGCUUAACACAUGCAAGUCGAACGAGAAUCUACUGAAAGAGUUUUCGGACAAUGGAAGUAGAGGAAAGUGGCGGACGGGUGAGUAACGCGUGAGGAACCUGCCUUUCAGAGGGGGACAACAGUUGGAAACGACUGCUAAUACCGCAUGACACAUAGAUGUCGCAUGGCAUUUAUGUCAAAGAUUUAUCGCUGAAAGAUGGCCUCGCGUCUGAUUAGCUAGUUGGUGAGGUAACGGCCCACCAAGGCGACGAUCAGUAGCCGGACUGAGAGGUUGAACGGCCACAUUGGGACUGAGAUACGGCCCAGACUCCUACGGGAGGCAGCAGUGGGGAAUAUUGGGCAAUGGGCGCAAGCCUGACCCAGCAACGCCGCGUGAAGGAAGAAGGCUUUCGGGUUGUAAACUUCUUUUGUCAGGGACGAGUAGAAGACGGUACCUGACGAAUAAGCCACGGCUAACUACGUGCCAGCAGCCGCGGUAAUACGUAGGUGGCAAGCGUUGUCCGGAUUUACUGGGUGUAAAGGGCGUGUAGCCGGGAGGGCAAGUCAGAUGUGAAAUCCACGGGCUCAACUCGUGAACUGCAUUUGAAACUACUCUUCUUGAGUAUCGGAGAGGCAAUCGGAAUUCCUAGUGUAGCGGUGAAAUGCGUAGAUAUUAGGAGGAACACCAGUGGCGAAGGCGGCUUGCUGGACGACAACUGACGCUGAGGCGCGAAAGCGUGGGGAGCAAACAGGAUUAGAUACCCUGGUAGUCCACGCUGUAAACGAUGAAUACUAGGUGUGCGGGGACUGACCCCCUGCGUGCCGCAGUUAACACAAUAAGUAUUCCACCUGGGGAGUACGAUCGCAAGGUUGAAACUCAAAGGAAUUGACGGGGGCCCGCACAAGCGGUGGAUUAUGUGGUUUAAUUCGAAGCAACGCGAAGAACCUUACCAGGGUUUGACAUCCUGCUAACGAAGUAGAGAUACAUUAGGUGCCCUUCGGGGAAAGCAGAGACAGGUGGUGCAUGGUUGUCGUCAGCUCGUGUCGUGAGAUGUUGGGUUAAGU
rnacentral:rRNA from 1 species